rnacentral:pre_miRNA from 1 species
AGCCCAAAUUUGAAGUAGAGCAGAUUAGAAGGAUCAUCUGACCCUACUAAACUUCACUACUUCGGGUUUGUGCCC